GUCAGGACUCCACUAUACCAGCAGACUGGCAGAUUUCCAACAGAAAGAUACUCCCCACCUUGGAGAACUUGUGAUCUGAAAGUCAGGCAAGAAGCUCUGAACAGAGACACAGGGAAAUUCUGUUUGAAAAAAAACUAUUUUGCCCUUUCAUAUGGAUUCUCACACUCUUUGCAUGCAUCUUGCCUGUGGAAGAGAUGCAAGGCUGAUUUGGUGACAUAUCAUCCUUGACACAUGACACAUAGAGACCAUGCUUCAAUCAACACGCCGUGCCUCUGGGCAGUGUGGUGUUACAGCCUCUGCAGGGGAAUGCCACUGCCUGCAAGACGC
rnacentral:lncRNA from 1 species